UGAGACACCAAAGAAGGCUGAACCAAGCAGAAAGAGACCUGCAGAAUCUGCCACAAAAACCCCUGUUCCUGACAAGAAGACUAAAUUAAUCACACCUCAAAAGACUGAAGGCAAGAAAGGGGUUGUUCACACUGCUACUCCUCACCCUUCAAAGCAGGCUCGGAAAACACCUGCUAACAGCAGCCUAUCAAAGCAGCAAACUCAAAAAUCAGGCAGGUCAUUCUCAUGCAAGUCUUGCAACAGGUCAUUUACCACGGAAGGUGGAUUGCAAGCUCAUACAAAGGCUAAGCACAGUGCUACUGCAUGAAUGGUAUGGUUGAAAUAGCUUUCUGCAUUG